UUGGGGUUUGGCCAUGUGAAGAAAUCACAACGUCCAUUCUCUUUGGCAGAAGUCAUCAAAUGUGGACCAGAUGGAACAAAGAUUCCCUUAUCGACCUAUGGCUCCACCUGAGACAUGACAUCCACAUGUGAUUCUUCUUUGGUGUAGAUCCUGCUUCAGCCAUCUUGCUGGGAGUGAAGUAAUGUUUUAGAUUGCCUGUUCUGAGAUGAGAAAAGAACCGAGAGAAGACAUCAUGCUGGAAAUACCUUCAGUUUAAAGCAUCUGUCAAGGAUGGGAAAUACACAGGACAGGAGAAUAAAAGGGAUGCCAGAUGAGUCAAAUGAUCUAAACUUUUAAAAAAAUCACAACCCUGCAAUGCAAGGAUUUCUGAUUUUUCAACAUGUCAUUAUGAUCUUGCACAAGUUAUUCUUUCCUUCUCCCAAAUAUCAAACACCUAAAAUGUUCAAAACAAUGAAAAACAGGACCUGUAAUGCAAAACAUUUAAAA